UACGUAGGGUGCAAGCGUUGUCCGGAAUUAUUGGGCGUAAAGAGCUCGUAGGCGGUUUGUCGCGUCUGCUGUGAAAACGCGAGGCUCAACCUCGCGCCUGCAGUGGGUACGGGCAGACUAGAGUGCGGUAGGGGAGAUUGGAAUUCCUGGUGUAGCGGUGGAAUGCGCAGAGUAUCAGGAGGAACACCGAUGGCGAAGGCAGAUCUCUGGGCCGUAACUGACGCUGAGGAGCGAAAGCGUGGGGAGCGAACAGG
rnacentral:rRNA from 1 species